AUAAACUGGAGGAAGGUGGGGAUGACGUCAAGUCAUCAUGGCCCUUACGACCAGGGCUACACACGUGCUACAAUGGCGCAUACAAAGAGAAGCGACCUCGCGAGAGCAAGCGGACCUCAUAAAGUGCGUCGUAGUCCGGAUUGGAGUCUGCAACUCGACUCCAUGAAGUCGGAAUCGCUAGUAAUCGUGGAUCAGAAUGCCACGGUGAAUACGUUCCCGGGCCUUGUACACACCGCCCGUCACACCAUGGGAGUGGGUUGCAAAAGAAGUAGGUAGCUUAACCUUCGGGAGGGCGCUUACCACUUUGUGAUUCAUGACUGGGGUGAAGUCGUAACAAGGUAACCGUAGGGGAACCUGCGGUUGGAUCACCUCCUUACCUUAAAGAAGC
rnacentral:rRNA from 1 species